rnacentral:rRNA from 1 species
AUACAUGCAGUCGAGCGGAGUUAUUUUGAAAGCUUGCUUUCAAAUAACUUAGCGGCGGACGGGUGAGUAACACGUAGGCAACCUGCCCUUCAGACUGGGAUAACUACCGGAAACGGUAGCUAAUACCGGAUAAUUUCUUUUUUCUCCUGAGAGAAGAAUGAAAGACGGAGCAAUCUGUCACUGAGGGAUGGGCCUGCGGCGCAUUAGCUAGUUGGUGGGGUAACGGCCCACCAAGGCGACGAUGCGUAGCCGACCUGAGAGGGUGAACGGCCACACUGGGACUGAGACACGGCCCAGACUCCUACGGGAGGCAGCAGUAGGGAAUCUUCCGCAAUGGGCGAAAGCCUGACGGAGCAACGCCGCGUGAGUGAUGAAGGUUUUCGGAUCGUAAAGCUCUGUUGCCAGGGAAGAACGUCCGGUAGAGUAACUGCUACCGGAGUGACGGUACCUGAGAAGAAAGCCCCGGCUAACUACGUGCCAGCAGCCGCGGUAAUACGUAGGGGGCAAGCGUUGUCCGGAAUUAUUGGGCGUAAAGCGCGCGCAGGCGGCUAUUUAAGUCUGGUGUUUAAACCUUGGGCUCAACCUGAGGUCGCACUGGAAACUGGGUGGCUUGAGUACAGAAGAGGAAAGUGGAAUUCCACGUGUAGCGGUGAAAUGCGUAGAUAUGUGGAGGAACACCAGUGGCGAAGGCGACUUUCUGGGCUGUAACUGACGCUGAGGCGCGAAAGCGUGGGGAGCAAACAGGAUUAGAUACCCCUGGUA